ensembl:lncRNA
CUGAUCACAGCGUGGAAAAUCUCAGCUUCCUGUUCCCAAAGCAAGCUGGGAGGUGAACUUGCCUGCACAGACAGUAUUUAAUUUGUGACGGCUUGAUGAGCCAGAGCACUCAACCUCUGAAGAACAGCCCUCGACCACUCACCUAAGAAGCAAAGCAUUUGGUGGGUAGCUGUGACCAGACUGGCUGGCAGCGCUAAUUAAAACAUUCAGCCCACGCAUAUGUAAAUCCAGAAACAGCAUGCCAGGGAAGAUAACUCCUGAUCCGAACUCAUCCCCAGAGCUUUUCCCAAACCCAGCUGUUUAGAAGCAAUCUGCAGCAUGGCCACUUGAUAAAAUUAUUUCUGUUUGGAUGUGAGAGGAGAGACCAGGGACCAGAAACAGUUUGGCACCAAGGAGCUGACCUGAAGAUGGAGUGGAU